ACCCGAAACCCGGUGAUCUAGCCAUGGGCAGGUUGAAGGUUGGGUAACACUAACUGGAGGACCGAACCGACUAAUGUUGAAAAAUUAGCGGAUGACUUGUGGCUGGGGGUGAAAGGCCAAUCAAACCGGGAGAUAGCUGGUUCUCCCCGAAAGCUAUUUAGGUAGCGCCUCGUGAAUUCAUCUCCGGGGGUAGAGCACUGUUUCGGCAAGGGGGUCAUCCCGACUUACCAACCCGAUGCAAACUGCGAAUACCGGAGAAUGUUAUCACGGGAGACACACGGCGGGUGCUAACGUCCGUCGUGAAGAGGGAAACAACCCAGACCGCCAGCUAAGGUCCCAAAGUCAUGGUUAAGUGGGAAACGAUGUGGGAAGGCCCAGACAGCCAGGAUGUUGGCUUAGAAGCAGCCAUCAUUUAAAGAAAGCGUAAUAGCUCACUGGUCGAGUCGGCCUGCGCGGAAGAUGUAACGGGGCUAAACCAUGCACCGAAGCUGCGGCAGCGACGCUUAUGCGUUGUUGGGUAGGGGAGCGUUCUGUAAGCCUGUGAAGGUGUGCUGUGAGGCAUGCUGGAGGUAUCAGAAGUGCGAAUGCUGACAUAAGUAACGAUAAAGCGGGUGAAAAGCCCGCUCGCCGGAAGACCAAGGGUUCCUGUCCAACGUUAAUCGGGGCAGGGUGAGUCGACCCCUAAGGCGAGGCCGAAAGGCGUAGUCGAUGGGAAACAGGUUAAUAUUCCUGUACUUGGUGUUACUGCGAAGGGGGGACGGAGAAGGCUAUGUUGGCCGGGCGACGGUUGUCCCGGUUUAAGCGUGUAGGCUGGUUUUCCAGGCAAAUCCGGAAAAUCAAGGCUGAGGCGUGAUGACGAGGCACUACGGUGCUGAAGCAACAAAUGCCCUGCUUCCAGGAAAAGCCUCUAAGCAUCAGGUAACAUCAAAUCGUACCCCAAACCGACACAGGUGGUCAGGUAGAGAAUACCAAGGCGCUUGAGAGAACUCGGGUGAAGGAACUAGGCAAAAUGGUGCCGUAACUUCGGGAGAAGGCACGCUGAUAUGUAGGUGAAGUCCCUCGCGGAUGGAGCUGAAAUCAGUCGAAGAUACCAGCUGGCUGCAACUGUUUAUUAAAAACACAGCACUGUGCAAACACGAAAGUGGACGUAUACGGUGUGACGCCUGCCCGGUGCCGGAAGGUUAAUUGAUGGGGUUAGCCGCAAGGCGAAGCUCUUGAUCGAAGCCCCGGUAAACGGCGGCCGUAACUAUAACGGUCCUAAGGUAGCGAAAUUCCUUGUCGGGUAAGUUCCGACCUGCACGAAUGGCGUAAUGAUGGCCAGGCUGUCUCCACCCGAGACUCAGUGAAAUUGAACUCGCUGUGAAGAUGCAGUGUACCCGCGGCAAGACGGAAAGACCCCGUGAACCUUUACUAUAGCUUGACACUGAACAUUGAGCCUUGAUGUGUAGGAUAGGUGGGAGGCUUUGAAGUGUGGACGCCAGUCUGCAUGGAGCCGACCUUGAAAUACCACCCUUUAAUGUUUGAUGUUCUAACGUUGACCCGUAAUCCGGGUUGCGGACAGUGUCUGGUGGGUAGUUUGACUGGGGCGGUCUCCUCCUAAAGAGU
rnacentral:rRNA from 1 species